GCCGAAGUGGCGAAAUUGGUAUACGCAGAUGAUUCAAAAUCAUCCACUAUUUUAGUAUGCCGGUUCAAAUCCGGCCUUCGGCA
rnacentral:tRNA from 1 species